GAUCAAAUCGUCCAGAAAAUAAUCAAACGAUACAUAUCGAUAAAAUAGAGAGUAAAAGAAAUAAACAUCUAAGAAAUAUGGGGGGUAUUUUAGCAUGUUUUGCCAUUGCACCCCUUUUUUUCUUCAACCCCUUCAUUU
rnacentral:ribozyme from 12 species